AUGCUUAACACAUGCAAGUCGAACGGAAACGAUGGAAGCUUGCUUCCAGGCGUCGAGUGGCGGACGGGUGAGUAAUGCUUGGGAAUCUGCCUAAUAGUGGGGGAAAACUCGGGGAAACUCGGGCUAAUACCGCAUAAUCUCUUCGGAGGAAAGGGGGCCUCUACAUGUAAGCUCUCGCUAAUAGAUGAGCCCAAGUCAGAUUAGCUUGUUGGUGAGGUAAAAGCUCACCAAGGCUACGAUCUGUAGCUGGUCUGAGAGGACGAUCAGCCACACUGGGACUGAGACACGGCCCAGACUCCUACGGGAGGCAGCAGUGGGGAAUAUUGCACAAUGGGCGCAAGCCUGAUGCAGCAAUGCCGCGUGUGUGAAGAAGGCCUUAGGGUUGUAAAGCACUUUCAAUAGAGAAGAAAAGCUUAGAGUUAAUAACUCUAAGCAUUGACGUAACCUAUAGAAGAAGCACCGGCUAAAUCCGUGCCAGCAGCCGCGGUAAUACGGAUGGUGCGAGCGUUAAUCGGAAUUACUGGGCGUAAAGCGCGCGUAGGCUGUUUUAUAAGUCGGAUGUGAAAUCCCCGGGCUCAACCUGGGAACUGCAUCCGAAACUAUUUAACUAGAGUAUGGGAGAGGUAAGUAGAAUUUCCGGUGUAGCGGUGAAAUGCGUAGAUAUCUGAAGGAACACCAGUGG
rnacentral:rRNA from 1 species